CAGUCGCCGCGGUAAUACGAAGGGUGCAGGCGUUAAUCGGAAUUACUGGGCGUAAAGCGUGCGUAGGCGGUGAGUUAAGUCUGCUGUGAAAUCCCCGGGCUCAACCUGGGAAUGGCAGUGGAUACUGGCUCGCUAGAGUGUGUCAGAGGAUGGUGGAAUUCCCGGUGUAGCGGUGAAAUGCGUAGAAAUCGGGAGGAACAUCAGUGGCGAAGGCGGCCAUCUGGGACAACACUGACGCUGAGGCACGAAAGCGUGGGGAGCAAACAGGAUUAGAUACCCGCGUAGUCCCUGUCUCUUAUAC
rnacentral:rRNA from 1 species